UGCACAUCGAUUUCGUUGGUCACAAGUCUCCAGCAGAGCAAACGGACCCUAUCGCCGUCCCCAAUUUUCGCCGCCUUGCAUUUUGCUGCCCUCGAAUCGUCGAACAGAACAAUGGCGGCGUCGUCUGCCUCCGCCCGCCUCCAUCUUCCCCUCGCCAGGCUCGAACCCUCUCUUCUUCGUCCUCCCCCGACGAGCGCUUGCAAUUGCUACUUCUCCGUCUCCUACUCGCUCUCUCUUAAACCCUCGUCGUCGUCCAUCUUUCUCAAACCCCUCCUCCUUCCCCGAUCCCUUCGCUCCAAGCCCCUCAAGAGCCGGGCCCCUAGAUCUAGCGCCUUCACGUGCCUCUUCACCGGCAUCGUGGAGGAGAUGGGCCACGUCGAGCGCCUCGGCCCCUCCGGGGACGAUGACGGCGGCAUCGAGAUGCGCAUCGCCGCGAGCACCGUCCUCGAAGGCGUCCAGCUCGGUGACAGCAUCGCCGUCAACGGCACCUGCCUCACCGUGUCCCACUUCGACCCCGGCGCCUCCACCUUCACCGUCGGCCUCUCGCCCGAGACCCUCCGCCGGACCGCCCUCGGUGAGGUCGGCCUCGGGUCCCCCGUCAACCUCGAGCGCUCCCUGCAGCCGAUAUCGCGGAUGGGCGGCCACAUCAUGCAGGGCCACGUCGACGGCACCGGCGAGAUCGCGUCCUUCGUGCCCGAGGGGGACUCGCUGUGGGUGAAAGUGCGGGCCACGCCGGAGCUGCUGCGCUACGUCGUGCCCAAGGGCUUCAUCGCGGUGGACGGGACGAGCCUGACGGUGGUGAAGGUGUACGAGGAGGAGGGGUGCUUCGACUUCAUGUUGGUGGCCUACACACAGCAGAAGGUGGUGAUCCCGCUGAAGAAGGUCGGGGAUAAGGUGAACUUGGAGGUAGAUAUACUCGGCAAGUACGUCGAGAAGCUUCUUAGAGGCAGAUUCGAUGAUCAUUCCGCUGCUAUUACUUCUUGACAGGAAACGGGAGGAGGGAGUUGUAUGUCAUCAGCCGAUUGUACCAUUAUGGAUAUUCUAGGAGGAAUGAUACAUUUAUUGUGCUUGUUUUGUUUUCUUACGAUUAAUGGGCAAUGUCACUUCAUUAUCAUGGGCUCAACCUUCCAUAAGUUAAUUGUUGAGUUUAAACUGUUGAUUCAAAAAUGCUUAAAUAAAUCAUAGUUAACAAUAGAAAUAGUUAAUCCAUCAUCAAACACUUAUAGGUCUUUCUAAGUAACCUGUGCAUCUUUGUUAAGAUACAACAUAACCCAAAAUCAAAUCCAGUAAUAGUCCAACGAGGCCUCACAUCAUCGCAUCUUUGAACGAGAGAUUACACUCAUCUAAAUUAUUAUGCCUAGUCAUAUAGAGUCAUAUACGAUUCCUUGGCCAUCAAUCCCUCUCCCACAUCAGAGGUGGUGGCACGAAGAAAGCUUUACUUGGGGAACAAAAAAGCUUAUGUCCAAUGUUACCGAGUAGAGUCAAUAUAUUUUGAGGCAGUCUCCAUACGUGUUCUUAAGACGAGGGUAAAUUUGGGACGGACAUAUGCACAAUGAUUGAUGUUCAUCGGGUGGGACGAUCGGUGUGCCAACGUAGUCGCGUUGGCCACCAUACACGCGUUCUGAUGCCAGCUCUCAUCGCCUUCCAAACACAUGCUUUUGCUGUGUCGGGUUAGGAUUAUAAAUUUGUGUAUCGAUAUAUACCCAUUCGCCUAUACCACCACCAGGAGAACAAGAGAGGACCAAAGAGGGAGAGAAGAGAGAGAGAGAGAGAUCUGCCGCUACCAUCAUCAUGAAGGCGACCGGCAUCGUCACGGUCGCUUCUACGGCGAUCAUGGCGGCCGCCUCGUACUCGACUGCGGUGUCCGGCUCGCUCUCGGAUCCCAAACUCCAAGCUCCAAACCAGGGCCGAGAGUCGUCGUCUCAGGAGAAGCAGAAGCAGAAGCAGGAAGAUGGAUCGACUCCGAGAUUCGACGGGUUGCGGUUCAUCGAGUCGCUCGUCACCGCGCAUCGAUGAGAUGAGACCGCGCACCGUUUGCUGCUACCAAUGAUUGCACAUCCAUUCUUCUCGACGGUGCAACUACGUUUGAUCAUUGCUGUUUAGUGGUUGGAGAAGGUGUAAUUUUCUUCCCCCUGUUUUCGUGUUUACAAUGAAACGAGAAGCACAUGUUCCAUGUGA